UUCUAAAGUGAUGAUUUCCUUAUUACCGCCCCAGUCUGAAAAUUCAUGACUGAUUGGUUACCGAACUGAUCAGAA